UACGUAGGGUCCGAGCGUUGUCCGGAAUUAUUGGGCGUAAAGGGCUCGUAGGCGGUUUGUCGCGUCGGGAGUGAAAACUCAGGGCUCAACCCUGAGCGUGCUUCCGAUACGGGCAGACUAGAGGUAUGCAGGGGGAGAACGGAAUUCCUGGUGUAGCGGUGGAAUGCGCAGAUAUCAGGAGGAACACCGGUGGCGAAGGCGGUUCUCUGGGCAUGACCUGACGCUGAGGAGCGAAAGCAUGGGGAGCGAACAGG
rnacentral:rRNA from 1 species